UUGGAUUUCGGAUAUUUUCGGGUAGUUCAGAUACUUUAUAAUAAUUUAAUUAUUUUCAAAUAUUUUUUUGGUAUUUAUAGUAGAUUUUUAAAUUAUAAAUAUAUAUUUAGCUAUGUUAUAUGUAUAUAUAAUUAAUAGUGUUAUAUAUUAGGGUACCGGUUUGGUUCUUGGUUCGCUUUCGGCUUGGUUCGGAUAUAUAAAUAUAGGAACCGUUCGGAUAUUUGAGGGUCUCUGUCUGGUUCCAGUUUCAGGUAUUUCGGUUCGGUUCCGAUUCGGUUCUUCGGUUCCAGUUUUUUUUUGCCCAAGCCUAUUUGCAUUGAAUAAAUAUUGAGAACUUCACUAAUAUUUUAAUUUUGAAAUUUGCAUUCAAUUAAAAAUAAUUAUAAAUUACUAAAACUAUUAGACAUCUCAAAUUAAAUUUUUUAUUAAUGGUUAAAAGUUUUGUUAUAAGAUAACAAUAAUCAUAAAAACAUAUGAUUAAAAAUUUCAUUUAAUAAACAUCUUUACUAAAACUAUAUUUUAUAUCUAUGUUUAUCAUUUAAAUUUAAUUAUAUAAUAUAGAAUGGAUAAAAUUGUUUUGUUAUUUAUUUACCAUAAAAUGAUCGUUAAUAAACAAGAGUGAUUGUUUGAUUUAUAUGCACAAACCAAUUUAUUUAUAUACCUAAUAUUACCGAUAUCUUAAUAAAUCAAUAUAUAUUUAUUAUUUUAUUAUUUCAUAAUAUGUAGAAAACAUAAAAUAAAUAAUAGUAUAUAAAUAUAAUUUAUAUAUAAAAUAUUUAUCCCACGCAAGGCGUGGAUCUUAACCUAGUUUAUAUAGUAUUUGGCUGUUAGGUUAACGUCAUUGAUAAUUACCAUAAACUAAUAAACUAAUACGAAAACUAAUUUUUAUAUUUUUCCUUAACUCUCCCAAAAUAUAUUAUCAAUUCUUGGCUUGAUUCCGAAGUUUUUGCAUCUUAAAUAUAAAUUUUUCUAUAUUUACCUCAUACCGAAUUGUGUAUCAAGUUAAUUAUAUUUGAUAUUUAAGCAUAAGAGUAUUAAGUUAAUAUCAUUUAAUUGUUUGAUCUAAUAAAGAAAACAUCAUUUAUACAUAAUUAAAUUACACUUCUUUGCAGUGUGUAUACUGCUUUGCGAAGAUUAAUAUGUUAUACCGACCAAAACUUUCUUUGAAUGUUGUUUGGUUCAAUUAAAAGAUAACUUCCACAUAAAACCAACAUCAACAAUACAAAACUGGACAUCUUCUUCUGUUUUCCAACACUAAAUAUACAGAACAUUAAUCCCAGAUAUGAUUAUAUAGGAUUAUGAAAGACUUAAAAACUCACAGAUUAUAUCACCAUUUAUAUAUGAUUAUGUAGGAUUAUCAAAUACUUCAUACUAGGAUGAGACCCACGCUUUAAGUGGGGGUGAGAUAUUCAUAAAAAUCAUAUAUUAAAGUAGGGUUGUUUAAUCCGGAUUUUGGUCUUGUCUAGACUCAAUUUUUUUGAUAUUUUAGUUUAUAAAAAUUAGAUACCAUACUAAAAUCAUAUAUGUUUUAGUUUGGUUCAGUUUAUAUAUUGCCGGUUUUUGGUUUAUUAAAUUUUGGUCUUGUCUCAAUUUGGUUUUCCGAUAUUUUUGUUUACAAAAAUUAGAUACCAUAUUAAAAUCAUAUUUAUCUUAGUUUAGUUUAGUUUAUAUACUGUCAUAUUUUGGUUUAUUCAAUUUUAUACCAAACAAACUUAAACUUUUAUAACAUUUUGUAAAUUUAAUUCUGUAUGAUUAAGAAUCAAAUUUAUUAAAUACUACUCUAAUUUUUAAAUAGAACAUUUUUUCUAUUAUAUUUAACUAUUAAAAAUAAUUGUUAAAUAAAUAAGUUAUUAUAGAUUUAUAAUAUGAAAAUAAAAAAUAUUAACAAUAUACUAAAUUUAUGAUAAAUAUAUGUCAAAGAAAGCCUUUACUUAAGAAUAACCAAUAAUACAUAUUAACGUCUCAAAUAUCAAGAUCAUAUAAAUAAAAUAAACUACAUGUAUAUAAUUAUAUUAUGUAAUUUACAUAAAACUAUACUACUAUAUUUUACUUAAUCAGUUUAUUCGGUUUAUAUGGUUUGAUCGGUUUAUAUACUGAACUAUAUCUAUAUACCACAAUUUUUAGAAAUAACAUCUAUCCGGUUUGUACAUUGUUCGGUUUUAGUUAGUCUGGUUUUUACCUAAUUGAACACCCUUAGUUCAAAUUACUAAAUCGUAGAUAGUUUGCAAACAUGUUUUUUGUACUAAUCGUACGUAAUAUAAUCAAAAUUAUAUGUAUUUUAUAAUUAAAUCUAAAAAUAAUUUACAAAAAUAGAUCUCAUUUUUCAAAGUACAAAAUCAAACGGGUUUUUUUGGCUGUUUGCUAGUUGGAAAGAUGAUAGUAUCAUUAGUGAUACUUAACGUUUAAAUAUGAUUAGCUUAUAGGUUAACUUCGUCUCUAAUUACCAUUAACGAAUACGAUUUUCAGUUACUAUAAUUUUUCUUAUCUCCCCAAAAUAUAUUUUCAAUUCUUGCCUUGAAAAAGUUUUUGCCUUUUAAAUUUAAAUUUUACAUAUUUCUCUUCUCUUCUACCUCAUGGCAAUUAUAUUGGAUAUUUAUACAUAAAAGUAUUAAGUUAAUAGUGUUAAAAUCUAUAUAUAAUAAGGAAACUAUAAUUUAUACGUAAAUGUCGAUAUUUGUGGUAAAAUAUGCACGCUCUUGGUAGGUUGCUUUCCUAAACAAUGAUUAAAAGUAUUUUAAUAAAACUCUCAUUUAUACGUAAAUGUCGAUAUGCCCAACGAAUAUGAUCUCGAACUUAGUUUAAAUAUACUUCUUAUUAUAUAGUUUUAUGUUUGAAUUAAUAUAAGUUUCCCUAGCGAAUUGAUUUUGGAUUUACAUAUUAUUAAAUCGCUUGUUAUGCUGCAACGUAAAGUCAAUUGACAUUCCAAUUAAGUGACAACUAAACAAAAAAAAAUUUAAAUAAAAAUUUAAAGUUCUAACUUUUUAAAUGUUCAUUAAUUAAUAUAUAGAGGAUGACUUGAAGUUAUAUGGGCUCAUGGAUUUGAAUAGCUUCAAAUUGAAAAUCUGAUUUAUUGAUGUCAUCAUUAUUACCUAGCUCUGGUAAUGUAAACGUGAGUAUAUGAGUAUUUCACGUACAUAAACCCCUCUUAAGACGUCAAACCGAGAAUCAAUAAAAAAGAUUUAUGUAAUCAAUAUGUAGAUAUAUCCACACAAAUUGCGACUUGUAAUUAAAGACAUAGUGAAUAUAUGCACAUGUAAGUAGCCUUAUUUGAGCAAGAGCGUUAAUUAUAAUAGAUGCGUUUGUGAAAACUUCCUUUUGUGGCCUAACGUGCUUUAGCCUAAGUAAAAAUUAAAUAUAUCCCUAGCGAAAUCACCACCUAUAUUUUGGACCAACUUUUUUUUUCAAUUGAAUAUGAAGCUGCCACGUCGUACUAAUUGCUAUGCUAAUUAAUUGACACCUAAGCCAAAAUUUUUUUUAAUUAAUACAAACUUCAGGUUAUAACUUUUCAAAUGUUUCUCUAUUAAUAUAUAGGGGAUUUAUAUCAUUUUUUAUAUAUGAUCCCACAAUGAAAAGCGUGAUUACAUAUGUUAGGCUACCGAGAUUAUAUGUUGAAACUUUAGUAUACUAUUUUUUAUUUGUAUUGGACGACGUAUGAAUAUACUUAAACACGUUUUUUUGUGUUUCAUCAUGAAUGAAAGACAUUUAUGUUUUUCCUUUUAUGCUUGAGUUUGGUUUACCAAUUUGCUUAUCGUAUAUCAUCAUAUGCCUAAAUACACGCUUGUUAUAAUAUAAGGUUUUCUAACAAUUGAAUUUUGGACUUACAAAUUAUUCAAUUGAUUCUUAUGUUGACACGUAAGCCAAAUUGACAUUCUAAUUAAAUGACACAUCAUCAUAUCUCUUUUUUAAUUAGUAUAAAAUAUAGGUUACACUUUUUAAAGGAUCCUCAAUUAAUAUAUAGGAGAUGUAUAUUUAACUUAAAAAUCUAUAAAAUAAAGGUAAGGUCCAAAAGUAGGAUUCUAUUUUAACAAGGAGAUCUAUAUAAAUUUAAGACAACUUUUGACAAAGAAUCAUAUAAAUAAAGCAUUUCGACCCUUUUUCCCACAACAAAAUUGACAGAUAUAAAAUAAUGAAUAUUAGAAAAUAUAUAUAACUUAAUAAUAUAUAGUUUUCAAAACAGAUUAAAAUUUAGACCAAUACAAUAAAAAUUCAUGAAUCAAUUAAGAUAAACAAGAAAUAUAAAUAGUUUUUUUUAUAAGAAAAUUAAAUAAUUUAAUCUAUCUAUUCUAUUAAAUUAGGAACAUGAUCAGUUGAUAUUAUUAUGGAAGUAUUAUUUAUAAAAAUAUAUUCUACGGGUUUUAGUUUAACGGGUUUUAAAUAGGUUAUUCGAUUAAAAAUAUUUGUUAAAUGUUUAGUGAAGACCUUAUUAACCCAUUUACAUAUAUAUAUUUAACAAAAUAUAUUAAAAUUUAUCUGUCAAAUAUUUUUCAAAACUUUUGUUCGGUUUUUUGUGCGUGUUGGAUUUGAUAUUGGUUUUCGGAUAUCACUUAAGAACCAUUCGAGUAUAUAUGUCAAAUCUAAUAGAUUAUGAAACUUUGAUUUUUGGGUCGAUUCCGAGUCAGAUUUUUUGGAUACGAAUAUUUUUCUUGACUAAUUAUGUUAGGUAACUACUAAGAAAAUAUAAUAUGUUGCAAAUUUUAGAAAUAAAGUUUAAAAAUAAUUUUUGAAAUAGAUAUGACAUAUAAUUAUGCAAUUUGACAUAUUUAAUAUAGUUACCAAAUAUUAUAUUAAAUUAAAUUAAUACUAAAAAAAUAUGAUUACAAAAAUAACACAAAUACAAAAAUUAAAUUUCUCAAAAAAAAAUAAACAAAAAUAUACCCGCCCUUUAAAAGGGCGGGUCAGAAUCUAGUUCUAAUUAAAUGACACAUCAUCAUAUCUCUUUUUUAAUUAGUAUAAAAUAUAGGUUACACUUUUUAAAGGAUCCUCAAUUAAUAUAUAGGAGAUGUAUAUUUAACUUAAAAAUCUAUAAAAUAAAGGUAAGAUCCAAAAGUAGGAUUCUAUUUUAACAAGAAGAUCUAUAUAAAUUUAAGACAACUUUUGACAAAGAAUCAUAUAAAUAAAGCAUUUCGACCCUUUUUCCCACAACAAAAUUGACAGAUAUAAAAUAAUGAAUAUUAGAAAAACAUUUGUUAUGUUUUUUCUUGUAGUGGUAUUAGCAACGUCUUCGUUGUCCAACUCCAACGUUUUAGCCUCACCGGUGAUCAAUCAAGUGGGUGGAUAUACUCAUUGCAUUGCAAGAUAUUGUACAAAAGAUUGGUUCGACAUUGACUGCGAUGAUGAGUGUAAAAGAAGAACAUACAGCACAGGGGCAUGUCUUGGUCCUUUUCCAAAACUUCAAUGUUGUUGCAAAAAGUGAAAAAAAAAACUUUAGAAAGUGGUCAUCUUUUAUACAACUGGUGAUUUAAGGGUUGGUUUAUAUUUUUCUAUAGUAUAAAAAGAUAUUUUAUUAUCUUGUUUUAUCUUCAAUAAAAUAAUCUAAUUAUAUUAUUAUUUUUUGUGUGUGUUUAUCAUCGUUUUUAGUUUUUUUUUACUUGAUUCGAAAGAUCCUCAUUAUCACAUAAAAAUUAAACAAAAGAGUAAACAAAUUCAAAAAAAUAUAAGAAAAAAGCAAUUCCAUGAUGAUAGUAUUUACAUUUUUGAUAUAUACCAAAAUUAAAAUCUAAAAACAAUAUGGAUUUGUUGAUCUAAAUUUGUUAGAACAUAUAUUAUAACUCUUUUUACAAGGAUAAAAUAGAUUUUCUAACUUAUCUUAUAUGUUUUAUAAAGUUCCAAUUUGUGUUGUAACGUCUUCUCUAUGAUCUAUCCAAAUAUAUAAUACAUAUGUGUCUGUUCUAAUCAAAUGUCUUUGUUAUAUAUAUAUAUAUAUAUAUAUAUAUAUAUAUAUAUUGUAGGCUUUUGUGUUCAUUGUAGAAAAAAUUAGAAAACGUUGAUUUGUGUUCUAUCUUGUUCAUAUAUUGUAGAUAAAACAGCGCGUUCUUACCUGUAUGCUAUGCUCUAACCAUAAUAGAAUUUAAAUUCUAACAUUUUUCAUGUGUUCUAUCUUAUUUAUAAUAUGUAUUCUUACCUUUUUCUAUGUUUUAUCGUUUUUAGAUUAUGUAUUUUAUAUUUUCCUAUAUUCUAUGUUUUUAAAUUUUAGAAAAUCUAGGAAAUAAUUCUAAAUAAUUUUAUUCAAAUUUAUCGUGUUUUAUGUUGAAUUGCAUUGAAUCACGUUGAAUUCAACUUUUUUUAUUCAUCAAUUUCGUUCCUUUGUUCUUCUUGUGUUCAAAAUUACCUUGAAUGGUCGGAAAUAGAAGAGACUUCGACAGAUGAGCAUGCAAUAGUUGGCUGGAAUGUCGAGACAAAGUUCACCAAUUCUCCGUAAUGGAAUGCCAAUUAAGGGUUAUUUUUAACACAAUGCCGAAAGUGAAAAAAACUAAAUAUUUCUAAUUAUUUUACUAACAAACUAAAUAAAUAAACUAUAUAAAUAUUUAGCUUUUAUUUUUGAUUGGCCAAUAUAAUUUAUAAAUUAGAUUAGAUAUUUAAUUUGUAUUAGAUUAUAAAUUAGAGGGUUAAUUUCGUAUUUAUAAAAUCAAAGGUAUAUUAAGACAAAAAUUAAUGAUAUCAAAAAUAUAAAAGUACAAACCAAUCCUCAAUAUGGCCUUCCUAUUAGCCAAAUUUCCCAUGUGUAAGUAAGUAACUCUCAUUAUUAUUAUUAUUAUUAUUAUUAUUAUUUAUUAACAUGGGGUAUCCCAUGUCUAUAAAGAGGUCUAUACUAAUCUCCAAAGGAAAGUACAGCUCAUGGAUAGACCUUCUCUCCGGACAUUCAAAUGGGCCCUAAAGCAUGUGCCCAUAUUCGUGUUAGAUGACUAAGAUAAUUGUGAUUUAGUUUCGUGCAGCCGGUGGGUUAAAACUGAAACGUAUUAGCGUCCCAAUCCCGCCUCCUUACCACCCGACCACAGUCACCCGCCUCAUUAUUACUGUUCUCGUACCAAAAUAUAUUUUCUAGGAGAAUGACAAACAAGAAAAGGAAAAAAAAACAAUGAAUUAAGAUAUACACUGCGCUUCCGUUCGUUCACGUCGGGGAUUGCAGAGCCUUGGGAUUAUGGAGGAUUAUAUUUUGUCGGGGAGUUUCCAAAUUGGGAUGGGUAACAGUUUUGCCUUUGAUUUCCAAAAUGUGAUAGAUAAUACUAUUUUUCUCACAUUAACUACUGGAUUAUUGUUUCAAAUUCAGGUGGGCUGAGUGGAAUGGGAUGUACAGGGAUGAUGUUAGAAAAUUUAUGAAGGUAUACAACGUUAGAAUCUGGUAUACACCAAUGAUGUUAGAAGAAGCCUUAUUGCAGAAACACUCUUAUGUUCCACAUUAUUUAGGGUAUGAAAGGAAGCUUUGCUACUCGGGUUGCAGGAUCUUCUGAUCUUUACCAGGUUAACCAGCAGAAUCCUCCUUACCACGGUGUAAAUUUCAUAAUUGCGCAUGAUGGAUUCACAUUGAGAGAUCAUACAAUUCUAAGGUACUUUUGAUUUCUCGUUGCAGCCUGGAUGAGUGUCCAUUCCUUACAUAUCUCUUCUGUAAUCUGGAACUGUGGUUCGGAAGGUACAGUUUAUAACGUUAUCAAAACAUUGAAAGUUUCUUGUUUUAGUAUUCAAGUUUAUACUCUGUUUCUUGUCAGGGGAAACUGGCAGAUGAAGAAUUUUCAUUUAGCUUUGAUGAUUUCUCAGGUAAAAUCAUUGCCAACAUACAUGAAUGAUAUUGUUGUUAACAAUCUUAUAUGAGACCGACCUUGAUCAAUGAUGCUAAUGGGAGACGCAUAUGGACAUUACCCGAUAUGGUAAUAACAAUAGCUAAUACUGCUCUCAACAACUUCCAGUGGAAAGAGGCAAGUCUUAUAUCUUAUAAGUUAAUAUGGAUGGAUUCUCCCCUGUGUAAGGCUGUAACGGUUGUAUCGUGGCUUGUUUGUUAUUUUAAAAUUCAGCUUGAAGCAAAGAAUAGCAGAACCAUUUUAGGUUCUUUUCAGAGUUGAUCAAGUUCCGACAUACACCCCAUGCAUGUGUACUCAAGCACGAAAAUUUCCUCAGCAAAGUAACUAAUCGUUAUCCUCUCGUUUAAUCUUUGCGCCUACUCUUAUUUGUUUUUUGUGUGGCAUGAAGAUAGAUAAUGUUGGAUCAAAUAAAUAGCCCAAUGGUUUUUAUUUAAAAUGUGAAUAUAAAAUGACUUGGGCUAAAUGUUAUUAAGCCCUAAAAUCAAGUCAUCUUGUGUAUCAGAAAUGUUCCACAUCGGGGAAGAAGAGGAAAGAAGAGUGUGGAAGCACCGUAGCCUACUGGUUAAGGUUUAAAGGCUUCUACACUCAGGUCUAGGGUUUGAAUCCCAGACUAUGCAAUUUAUUGCAGAUUACAGGAAAUCCAGGAGAGAGUGCUUUAUUAAACAAUUAUGCAGACUACAGGAGAAAGACUUACAAGGGAACUUCAACAUGGUGCAAGUAAAUCUGGCCAGGCGUGGAUCUUCAUAGGAUGGCUCAAGUGAUGCAGUUAGGCGUAGGUCUUCAUAAGGCAGGUAGUAUUGUCGGUUGUCGAAUCGUCUAUGUAAUCUUUCUCAUAUCAUAAUUGUAAGAUCAUAAUAAAUCAUCGU